UCAGGUAGGAAUACCCGCUGAACUUAAGCAUAUUAAUAAGCGGAGGAAUCUG
rnacentral:rRNA from 1 species